CAAUAGCGUAUAUUAAAGUUGUUGCAGUUAAAAAGCUCGUAGUUGGAUUUGUGGUGGUUCCUGUGGUCCGAUUUCGGUACUCUCGGGGACUGCCAUCUUUGGGUGGAUCCUGUGUGGCAUUAGGUUGUCGUGCAGGGGAUGCCCAUCGUUUACUGUGAAAAAAUUAGAGUGUUCAAAGCAGGCUUAUGCCGUUGAAUAUAUUAGCAUGGAAUAAUGAGAUAGGACCUUGGUACUAUUUUGUUGGUUUGCGCACCGAGGUAAUGAUUAAUAGGGACAGUUGUGGGUAUUCGUAUUCCAUUGUCAGAGGUGAAAUUCUUGGAUUUCUGGAAGACGAACUAAUGCGAAAGCAUUUACCAAGGAUGUUUNCAUUA
rnacentral:rRNA from 1 species